GUUGAGCGCCUCUGGCUAUGGUGAGGCGCAGCGUACGGCUCAGUAACACGUAGCUAACCUACCCUUAGGAUGGGAACAAUCCCGGGAAACUAGGGCUAAUUCCAAAUAGGUGAGGAGACCUGGAAUGGUUCUUCACUGAAAGGGUGUUGGGACCAUGCUUUCCAAUGCCGCCUAAGGAUGGGGCUGCGGCCGAUCAGGUUGUUGGUGAGGUAAUGGCUCACCAAGCCUUUAACCGGUACGGGCCGUGAGAGCGGGAGCCCGGAGAUGGGCACUGAGACAAGGGCCCAGGCCCUACGGGGCGCAGCAGUUGCGAAAACUCCGCAAUGCGCGACAGCGUGACGGGGUUACCCCAAGUGCCAUCCGCUGAGGGUGGCUUUUCUUUUGUGUAAUGAGCUGAAGGUAAUAAGGGGAGGGCAGGACUGGUGUCAGCCGCCGCGGUAAUACCAGCUCCCCGAGUGGUGGGGAUGAUUAUUGGGUCUAAAGCGUCCGUAGCCGGCUUGACAAGUCCUCUGUUAAAUCCAGCGACCUAAUCGUUGGGCCGCGGAGGAUACUAUCAGGCUAGGGGGCGGGAGAGGUCGAUGGUAUUUCCGGGGUAGGGGUGAAAUCCUAUAAUCCCGGGAGGACCACCAGUGGCGAAGGCGGUCGACUAGAACGCGCUCGACGGUGAGGGACGAAAGCUGGGGGAGCGAACCGGAUUAGAUACCCGGGUAGUCCCAGCCGUAAACGAUGCGGGCUAGGUGUUGGAGCGGUUACGAACCGCUUCAGUGCCGCAGGAAAACUGUUAAGCCCGCCACCUGGGAAGUACGGUCGCAAGGCU
rnacentral:rRNA from 1 species